GCCGGAGUGGCGGAACUGGCAGACGCACGGGACUCAAAAUCCCGCGAGGUCCUCCUCUUGAGGGUUCGACCCCCUCCUCCGGUA
rnacentral:tRNA from 1 species